rnacentral:rRNA from 1 species
UACAGGGGGGGCAAGCGUUGUUCGGAAUUACUGGGCGUAAAGGGCUCGUAGGUGGCCAACUAAGUCAGACGUGAAAUCCCUCAGCUUAACUGGGGAACUGCGUCUGAUACUGGAUGGCUUGAGUUUGGGAGAGGGAUGCGGAAUUCCAGGUGUAGCGGUGAAAUGCGUAGAUAUCGGGAGGAACAUCAGUGGCGAAGGCGGCUGCCUGGCCCAAUACUGACACUCAGGUGCGACAGCGUGGGGAGCAAACAGG